CCCGCACAACCGGUGGAACAUGUGGUUUAAUUCGACGAUACGCGAAGAACCUUACCUGGGCUUGACAUAUACCUGGUAGAAACUCGAAAGGGCGACGACCCGAGCAAUCGGGGAGGGUAAACAGGUGGUGCAUGGCUGUCGUCAGCUCGUGCCGUGAGAUGUUGGGUUAAGUCCCGCAACGAGCGCAACCCUUAUCCCUAGUUGCCAUCAGGUAAAGCUGGGAACUCUGGGGAGACUGCCGGUGAUAAACCGGAGGAAGGCGGGGAUGACGUCAAGUCCUCAUGGCCCUUACAUCCCGGGCUACACACGUGCUACAAUGGCAGGUACAGAGGGCUGCGAAGCCGCGAGGUGGAGCGAAUCCCAGAAAACCUGUCUCAGUCCGGAUUGAAGUCUGCAACUCGACUUCAUGAAGGCGGAAUCGCUAGUAACCGCGAAUCAGCAGGUCGCGGUGAAUACGUUCCCGGGCCUU
rnacentral:rRNA from 1 species